rnacentral:lncRNA from 1 species
UAAUAAUAUAAUAUAUUACUAUAAUUAGCCCAUUCAAUGCUAAUCAUGGUGACUAAUUAAAACAUUCAUACUUGCCUCCACAAACAGAAACCCACUUAGGCUGACGCCACAGCAAUGCAUGGCGGGCACAGCUAGUGCAGGAUAUUAUUGUUUUACUGUCUUAAUGUCUAAUUUGUCAUUGAAGGUAAAUUUGUCACAAUCAUUUUCUCCAUUUGUGAAUAUUCAUGGCUCAGAUGGGGCAUAACAGAAAAAAGAAGAACAAUGAAGUCAUUAUUCUGUGUUUCUUCUCUUUUCAACUCUAGUGCAUCCUACAAAACUGAAAAAGGGAUAUGGGAUACAGAUUCAUGUACGAUAUUUGAAAAGAAGGAAUCCCAUCGCGGGAGAUGGAUCCCAUCCUACUUGCUUCCAGCCAGAAUGUGGAUGCAGAGCAGAAUGGAGGGUGCCAUAAUGAUUAGGAGGAAAGUGAAAGGGCUGUAUGAGUAGCAGCUGUGAAGGGUAAGGAGACCAUAGGACUUUGGCAAGCGCUAAAGAAGAGGAACGGAAGUCCCAAAAAGGACUAAAGUCUAAAGACUGAUUCAACAGUCUAAUUAAAGCAACAGUAGCUUCAUGUGCUAGCUUAAUGCACUUUGACAUCUAUUCCAGUGUUGCCGGGUUUUGUUCAUGUUACUGACUGUUGUUGGUUUCCUUAUUAUCAUCACUACAGGCCCAUUUACAAGUACAGUGUUCCCUCACUACUUCACGGUUCGCUUUUUAUAGAUUCGCUGUUUCGCGGUUUAUAAUAAACUCUAAAAGAAUACUAUAAACCAUAAAAAAAUACAAUUUACAGCCUAAAGAAGGGAGUAAGGAGAAGCCGAAGGGAGAGAAAAAGAGCCCAAGCGGCAACAGGAGGAGGAGGCGGUGAUUUAUCAACACACGAUUGGUUAAUAAAGACUUAAAAUAGUAUAUAACUAUUAAAAUAAUGUAUAAAUAUAUAGCGUCCCUACUUCGCAGAUUUUCACUUAUUGCGGGUGGUCUUGGAACCUAACCCCCGCAAUAAGUGAGGGAACACUGUAAUGUGCAACACAGAAAUCCACCAGUUUUAUAUUUAUGUAUUGAUUCAUCACAUUUUUCUUCUACUCUUCUCCCAAGGAGCUCAAGUGAAGAACAUUGUUUCACCAUCCUUAAUGAAUCCUUAGGACAACAUUCUGAGAGAAGGAAUGCCAUGUGAGUGGCACUGGGUGAGGACCAACUUCACCAUUCAUGGUACUUAGGGGGACCAUUUGAGAGAUGUAUACAACUUAGCUUAGACGGGAGCAUAACACUGAUAGAAAGGUACUGAUGGAGCACCAUGUUGUUGUGUAGCCAGGGAGGGCAGGG